ACAUGCGGAUGGGGGCGAGGCUCAGAGAAGGCGAUCAUAUCAAUCUUAGUUUGAUAACUCUCACAACUGUGAUAAGAAAGCUCAGUGUUGCGAAAAGAAGCGGUCGUACCCUACUAGGACUCCAGCUUCCCGGCAAGUUUUGGAAAAUGAGAUUGAAAACAGAGAGCACCAGAAAAUGAAGACUUCAUUUCAUAUCCGGUGAGACCCAGCCAGAGUGGAGACGUUUCAUCAAAGGAAGGAACUCCAGGCUAUCCUCAUUCUAUUUCAGUUAAUACGAAGAAAAUGCAGAAGGUGUUUUAGAAUGCAGCUGAGGAGAAUGUGAGAAGCAUAAGAGCUUAUGUGACAGAAUUGAAGGAACAUGUUGCCAAACUGCAAUACCAAAAGCAGCUACUUGUUUGCUAGGUCAUUGAGCUGGAAGCAAAUGAAGCGGCAUUUGGCAGAAAUUGGCAAUUCAAGCUGAUGGGAAUUGUAGGUUUCAUCAAUUAACUCCCCAAUAGCAAAAAUACUAUGAUAAGUUGAAUUAGAAGAAAACUAGAAAUUACCAAUUUAAUCCACAAAUUCG